rnacentral:misc_RNA from 1 species
GAUGAAGAACGUAGCGAAAUGCGAUACGUAAUGUGAAUUGCAGAAUUCAGUGAAUCAUCGAGUCUUUGAACGCACAUUGCGCCCCCUGGUAUUCCGGGGGGCAUGCCUGUCCGAGCGUCAUUGCUGCCCUCAAGCACGGCUUGUGUGUUGGGCCUCCGUCCUCCUCCCGGGGGACGGGCCCGAAAGGCAGCGGCGGCACCGCGUCCGGUCCUCGAGCGUAUGGGGCUUCGUCACCCGCUCUUGUAGGACCGGCCGGCGCUUGCCGACACAUCAAUCUUUUUUCCAGGUUGACCUCGGAUCAGGUAGGGAUACCCGCUGAACUUAAGCAUAUCAAUAAGCGGAGGA